UCUUCUUUAAUAAACUAAAGCCUGGUACUAGUUGAACAGUGUCAUAACUAGGAAUCCCUGCUUGAUUUUCAUCUGAAACGAAAUUAAUUAAUAAUACUGUUUAGAAAAAUCUGUUUAUUCUGUUUCUAGUACCAAUGAAUGUUACUGACAAGCCUUCAAUUUCAUAUAAACUCACAGAGAAACUUAAGAAUGGUCCAAGUGAAAGCAGGCCUCUAUACAGUGAAAAUAAAGAGGUAUGAAACCAGGAUGAAAACGAUGAGAAGCUAUAAGAAGGUUGUAUGUAAAAACCGAUAAGAAGAUGCUCAAGAGUUCUGAAAAAGUAAUGUAUAAAAGAUUCUGAUCAUCUGACAAAAAAAGAUUGGGAUAUUGUAUAAUGUUGUGUAUAGUAUCUCAAGCGGUGUUCCUCUAUAGACGUGUCUGUUAAUCAGAUACAAAUCAACAGUGUGAAGAAAUCCAUUUUUGUUGUGAUCAGUUUUUGGUUGUGCCAUAAAGAUAUCCUAAGACACUGUACAGAGGUUGUUUAGAAAGGUGUUGUUGAAUCUAGACAAUUAUAAAACUUAUGUAAAGUGCAGAAGGUGAGCAAUUACUCCAUAGGAAAUCUCUCACUCCUUUGACAGUUGUUAAGCCUCUCUGAAAACAGAGAACUUAUUUCUGUCAGUGUUUAUGAUAAAUGUAUGUUAAAGGCCAACAGUGUGUAAAGCUAAUGUCUAUCUAGUGAUCGAUAAUGACAUGUCUGAAACGUUCAGAUGAUAAGUGUGCUCAAAUUUAUGGAAUAGUUUCAAUUGGGAUCUCAGACGAUAAAGAACAACAUUGGUGUCAGUAUCAGAAAACUCGAGACUUUAUGUAAAUAUUAUAUUGAUGUUGUCACAAUUGGUAAGAAUUUAAAAAAAAAGCAUUUAUGAAUAGCAUCAGAAUAUUGUAUUCUGGUGUUUGUUCAAUUUUUCAUUAUUAAAUAAAUGUCAAGACACUGAGCAAGAUCAGGAAAGUAAACAACAGACAAAAAUAUCAGUUAUUUAUGUGCUUAUGUUGAACAUAACUUCAAAAACACCCCAGCAAUACAAUAAAAUUAAUCCUUUUACAAAGUGUCUGUGUGUAAACAAAUUCGUAUGAAUGUGUGUGUGUAUAAUGUAACAAGUAAAUACUGUAAAAGGCAUUCUUUUAAUUCCAUUCUGACUGCUUGAAUGAUAAUAAAUUAACGACACUCUUAUGUUCAUUUAUGAAUUAGUUGGUAGAAAAUUAGUUAACUCGUAAUAAAAAAUCCAUAUUAUACAUCUAAAUUUAGAAUCAUAGUUAUAAUGUGCAGGUCUACAACACAGAGUUAUUUUUAUUGUAUGAAGCUGUUCAGAAAUCUGUAAUUCAGUUUUUUGUUUAAGUAUGAAUAUAUUCCAACAUGAAUGACAUUAUCUCAACUUAAAAAAAAAUGACAGCAUGUGAUGUUUCAUAAAUGUUUAUUAAGAACAUACUUAACUGCAGUGAACUGUAAUGCCUUUUUAAAUAUAAUAAAGUAGCAAUUAAAUUGUUAUUCUGA